UGGACGACUCUCGGCAACGGAUAUCUCGGCUCUCGCAUCGAUGAAGAACGUAGCGAAAUGCGAUACCUGGUGUGAAUUGCAAAAUCCCGUGAACCAUCGAGUCUUUGAACGCAAGUUGCGCCCGAGGCCAUCCGGCUAAGGGCACGCCUGCCUGGGCGUCACGC
rnacentral:rRNA from 1 species